rnacentral:rRNA from 1 species
UAAUACAGAGGGUGCGAGCGUUAAUCGGAAUUAUUGGGCGUAAAGGGCGUGUAGGCGGAUAUUUAAGUUAGGUGUGAAAUACUUGGGCUCAACCUGGGGACUGCAUCUAAAACUGGAUAUCUAGAGUAUAGUAGAGGGAAGUGGAAUUUCCGGAGUAGCGGUGGAAUGCAUAGAUACCGGAAGGAACAUCAGUGGCGAAGGCGGCUUCCUGGACUAAUACUGACGCUGAGGCGCGAAAGCAUGGGUAGCAAACAGG